AACGAACGCUGGCGGCAGGCCUAACACAUGCAAGUCGAACGAGACCUUCGUGUCUAGUUGCUCACAGGUGCGUAACGCGUCGGAACCUUCCUGUAUAUUCGGAAUAACUCAUAUAAAUUUGGGCUAAUACCGGAUGAUUUCUUCUGACCAAAGAUUUAUCGCCUUUAGAGGCGCCCGAGUUGUAUUAGCUAUUUGGUGUGGUAAAGGCCUACCAAGGCUACGAUCCAUAGCUGGGAUGAGAGGAUGAUCAGCGACACUGGGACUCAGAAACGGCCCAGAAUACUACGGGAGGCAGCAGUGGGGAAUCUAGGAAUACGGGGGAAAGCAUGAUGCAGUUAUGCUGGGUGAGUCCUGAAGGCCUGAGGGAUGUACAGCUCUUUUACACGACACGAUAAUGACAGUACCGGGAGAAUAAGCUCCGGCUAACUUCGUG
rnacentral:rRNA from 1 species